rnacentral:rRNA from 1 species
CCUACGGGAGGCAGCAGUGAGGAAUAUUGGUCAAUGGGCGCUAGCCUGAACCAGCCAAGUAGCGUGAAGGAUGACUGCCCUAUGGGUUGUAAACUUCUUUUAUAAAGGAAUAAAGUGAGGCAAGUGUACCUUUUUGCAUGUACUUUAUGACUAAGGCUCGGCUAACUCCGUGCCAGCAGCCGCGGUAAUACGGAGGAUCCGAGCGUUAUCCGGAUUUAUUGGGUUUAAAGGGAGCGUAGAUGGGUUGUUAAGUCAGUUGUGAACGUUUGCGGCUCAACCGUAAAAUUGCAAUUGAUACUGGCAGUCUUGAGUACAGUUGAGGUAGGCGGAAUUCGUGGUGUAGCGGUGAAAUGCUUAGAUAUCACGAAGAACUCCGAUUGCGAAGGCAGCUUACUAAACUGUGACUGACACUGAUGCUCGAAAGUGUGGGUAUCAAACAGGAUUAGAUACCCGGGUAGUC